rnacentral:rRNA from 1 species
AUUAGAUACCCUGGUAGUCCACGCAGUAAACGAGUGAAUGCUAGCUGUCCGGUACGAUUGAAGGACUGGGGCGUAAGUCGUAACAAGGUAAC